CCAUGUACACGGGUGGUUUUCCCACUCAGAGGUUCAGUAAAGGAAUCUCCAAGAAGCAUUAGGUUUCCGGAAGCAUCCACCAGCCCACCUAGAGGUAUAACUUCUCCUGCGGUCAAGGAAGAGAAAAUGAGAGUCAUAACAUCACUGAGCAACUCUUCGCUAUGGUCCAAUCCUUCCCAUUGAGAAAAAAGGCACAAUGAUCAUUUACUUCAGUGGAAGCAGAAAUAGGUCUAACGGGACGUAUCAGGGUCUGGAAUGUUUGAAGAUGUUUAUGAAGUAAUUUGGCUCAUAAAAUGUUCUUAUAUGUUUCUACUUAAAUAGUCUCUACUUUAGAAGAAGAUUAAGGUCUCCCCUCCUUUUUUAGGGUCUAGCGUAUCUUCUCAAACGAAUCAUAGAGAAUAUAGAUCUGUGAAAAUUAUUUUAAAAAUCAAGAACUUCAACCCCCAGGCCUCUCAAUAACGCAUGUCACGCUACUUUUAAUAUUUUAAUAGAGGAAUUGGAGCAUUUUUAGGCAUCAAAUCAGAUUUGGUAGUGUCCUAGUUAAUGAACGAUGGCUUCAGGUUCUCUCAUAGUUUCACUCGAUCCUUUUAUUGACCUUUAAAGGGAUCAACUGUAAAAUACAACUAUAGAAGAAAGGAUUACUGUCUGCAAAAGUUAUGUGACUCUUCCACAAGAAGGUACAUUUACAGAAGGUAAAUAUGUGAGAUGAACAUACAGACUUCUUGUCUGUGCCUCAGAUCAGUCCGUUAGGGGCAGAUUAAACGAACGAUGCACGCCACACAGAGUGAGUCAUGAGGAGCAUUCACCUACCAGUGUCACUGUCCAAACCAACUCCGAGUAUUGGAACGAUCUUUUCUCCCUCUGGCUCAGUCAUAGGACUCCAGAUCUCCAGAGGUGUCACCAUGCCAGUCAGGGGGUUAAGGUAUGUCCCACCAACAGUCAGCUUUUGCCCGGUGUCAGGAUGGAUGGUAACUGCAAGCACUGGAACUUCCAGUUCUGUCACCGGAUCUACCAUCAGUCCUCCCAUAGCAAACAUUUUUUCAGGACACAGGACUGGAAGUUUUGUCUUCACAGAGGCUGUAGUUACCUACAAGCUCCUGCUUGGUGAGUAUCCUGGUUUUAUCUUCGUUAAGAAGGUGAGCUCCUACUCCUUCACCCAGGACUCCCCAUGCUUUGAGGCGGUGACUCUGCUGUGUUAUCAUGCUUGACAUCUUGCUGCUGGCAGCCUCUAUCUGGGCUAACAGGCUGCAGUUCAAGAGAUGAAGAUGGUUACUCUCUGUCUGAAGAUAAGCACUCUGGUGCUGACAGUGACAAGACCGGAUGACCACUGAUCAGAACUGGUGGGAUAUCCCAGAGCCAAAUCCACUGGCAGCACAAGAAAGGACUGUCAAGAUGUUGUUGUCACUCAGGUUAUGAGGGACCCUCUUUGGAGUUCACAUCUCUUGAGAUUUUUUAGGCUCGUGCUACAUAAAUGGGAAAAUUAUGAUCUGCAUCACCUGAUCUUCUGGUGAAAAAUCAGUUUUCAGCAUCCAAACAUCUGUACUGCCAACCACACGCCAACCCCAUCGCUUGCCACAAAUGCACUCUAGUGAGUAAGAAGUUGCAUCCCGAUUUUGCAGUCUGUUUAUUACCUCGUAUCGUCUGGCUGAGACAGCGUUUGGUUUCCUUUAUCAGCCACCUUAUUUGCCAGCAUCUCUGCCAACCUCACCGCCUCCCUCAAGGCAGAACAGAACAGGACACAGUGCUCUUCCUGACACUUCAGGUCGUGCUGUAAUAACUGCAUCUGUUUGUUCAAGCUUUCCUCAUACUCAGCAGCCAACUGUUUCCUUCGCUGCAUCUCCUCUUCUGCCUGGGUGGGGUAUAAGAUACAAACAGCUCUUCUGUUGUUGUUGUCAUUUUAUCCAAAUCUAAACAGAAAUUGCAACUUUUCCGCCCCUUUUAAAGUGGGAAAGAUUAGAAAUGGAAAAUAAUGUUCAUAUGUUCAUUUCAUAAAGCGUAGGGUAUCCUUUCAACAAGUGAUGCAACAUCCAGGUAAGAUGGAUGUUUCUAGGUAAGAAAAUGAGUUUAUUUCUGUUCUCAAGACAUGAAAUAAUUUCAUUCUUAGAAUUUCUGUAAUGAUAGAAAUAAGAACAGUUCUGGUUUAGAAAAAGAGGUUGCACACACGCUCGAGCAGAUGGAUUUGUGCUGUUUUCAAAGCUGGAAUCCUUGCUACCAAAGCAGAGAGACAGGAUCUCCCAGAAGAGGUGAGAUGCAUGGAGGUAUCAUCAGAUAAAGGAAAGAAACUUUCCGAGACAGGUUUCUGUGUUAACGCAAAGCAGCAACAAGAACCUUAAGUGCAUUAAAGGCUCGGUGUAACCUGUUGUUCACGGACAUUACAAUGCCGGUUGUUUUGCAGACUGUGAAAUAUAGAAUGUCUACAGUUCCAAAAGUGCAUUUUUACAUGACCGUGCCUGAAACGACAGAGUACUGGGAAUUUGAUUUGUUAUUCCCCACAUACAUUGCAGAGCUGAGCUCUACCUGCUGUUUCGCUUCCAAGUAAGCCUCUGUCGUUGUGCUGUCAUAAGCCUCCAUCCCCUCCGGGAUGCUCAGUGUCUGCAUCCAAAGGUUUUUCAGUGAAGAUAUUUCACUCAUAAUCUUACGAUAGAUCGUUUUUAGCUGAGGUCCAAAACAAAAAAAAAAGAAAAGAAGAUUAUAUUAGGACUGUAAGAGAUUGGUGAAGUGUCUCUUCAGUCCAGGUGCCUCCUCUUGUAACUCAAACAAAUGCUGACAUCUGAGUUUCCACUACAAAGGGCAUUCGCUUUAGCUUGUCUGGGGAUGGUGAUUUCUCCACACCACUCCUCUGCUCAGUGCAUGCUGUGCUGAAGCUCCCUCUGCUGUCCUUUGAACCACAAACGGGGUUGGAGGAGUAUUAUGGGUAGAUUUAUCAUUAGGGCUGUGCAACGCUGUUCCAGAGAUUUCAGCAAAGAAACUGUUAUAAAAUACAAAUAAUUGAAUAAGGCUGCAUAUCUGUGUCACUGUGUAUGCAUUUAUUCAUUUGUAUUUCUCCUCAAUUUAAUCUGCAGCUCUGAAUUUUGACUAGGAAAUCCGUAUUGUUUGCACUUUACGGAUGAAAAAUUGAAGCUGGAAGAUGAAGCCCCUCUCCAAAAAUGUUAUCAGUUCGCUGCAGAACCAUAAGAAAACCAAAAUGUUUUGCCUUAAAGUCACUAUUCUUCAUAGAAUCACGCACAGAAUCAUAGAAUGGUUUGGGUUGGAAGAGACCUUAAAGCCCAUCCAGUUCCACCCCCUCCAUGGGCAGGGACACCUCCCACUGGAUCAGGGGCUCCAAGCCCCAUCCAACCUGGCCUGGAACCCCUCCAGGGAUGGGGCAGCCACCACUGCUCUGGGCACCCUGGGCCAGGGCCUCCCCACCCUCACAGCAAACCAUUUCUCCCUAAGAUCUCAUCUCACUCUCUCCUCUUCCAGCUCAAAACCGUUCCCCCUCAUCCCAUCCCUGGGUACAUUUAUUUCAUGUCUUUUAAAAAAAGAAAGUUGAAGUUGAGGAUGUACCUCAUCACCACAGCCUGAUGAAACAAUGGUAGUGAAGUUCAAUGUUUUAAGGCUCUUUCUACACAAACAUGAGUGGUCCCAAAGCACAAUUUACCUCUUCUUUGAAAUGGCCCAGUUUGGUGGUGACCGAGAGCGACUGCUUCAGCAGAAGUUCAAAGAAAACAUUGGUAUUAAAGGACUCAAGGUCUAUCUGUUCUUCAGGCUCCCAAGCAUCACUCCUUUUCAGGAAGCAGGCUGGAACAUGGAAAGUCAUCUAUUGGUAUUCUUUUUUUCAUUUAUGACUGGUUUUGAACAAAGAAUACAUGUAAAAUCCCCGAUUUGAGCACCUGUUGCUAAACUAGGACUCCGUGUCCAUCACUGACAAGUAACCAGAUACACUCAGUGUGGUUUAGCCUUUCUGUUAUCUGACCUGUUCCACUGGAGUCGUCAUCUGGUCCGCCUUUGUUCUGCAGCGAGGGGUGACGUUUUUUAAUGGAAGAGACUGUUGAUACGCUGGAGGAAUAACUGUCCAGGUUGUACUGCAGCUGCUGCCUUCGAAACGCAGGGCACGGAGCGCCUUUCUGUGACCAGCUGAGCCCCUGACAAAGCAGCUGCAAAGCACAACAAAAUCCAACAACUAAGAUCCUUUUCUUAUUUUGACGCGUUCUAUUAAUGUGACUCACACGUUAUGCACUCAACAAGAAAGGCUGCAUCAUCACCUCUUCGGCAAAGAUCCCGAGAGUCUGUUUUCUGCCUAUAUCGUUAAAGUAAGCUGUUCUAAAACAGAAGAGUUCGUGAUUGCAGCAGAUAAGGCUGAAACCAAGUGAGGGAGGAUGUAUAAUUAUCUGUUGCUUCCAUCUGCUGGAUGGAUAAAUCACAUUUUCUAUCGUGACCUCAGUAGUCUGGCUGCAGAAAAAGCCUGUUGGUUUCAGAACAUGCUAGAAACAUAAAGGAAUGGCUGUUUGGGGGAUUAUGAGCCUGAACGACCAUCUGGGUUUGCUGUUACGAGACAGCACGUCUUGUUUCAGGUAUGCUAUGGGUCACUAGGAGCUCUGUCUGAAUAAGGAGUGCGAAUGGAACGUCACAUGAAUGAUCACUGGAGAAACCUCUUCAUGACUG